rnacentral:rRNA from 1 species
CAGUGGGGAAUAUUGCACAAUGGGGGAAACCCUGAUGCAGCCAUGCCGCGUGUGUGAAGUAAGGGCCUUACGGGUUGUAAAGUCACUUUCAGUAGGGAGGAAGGUAGUGUAGUUAACACCUGCAUUAUUUGACGUUACCUACAGAAGAAGCACCGGCUAACUCCGUGCCAGCAGCCGCGGUAAUACGGAGGGUGCGAGCGUUAAUCGGAAUUACUGGGCGUAAAGCGCAUGCAGGCGGCCUGUUAAGUCAGAUGUGAAAGCCCCGGGGCUUAACCUCGGAAUUGCAUUUGAAACUGGCAGGCUAGAGUCUUGUAGAGGGGGUAGGAAUUUCAGGUGUAGCGGUGAAAUGCGUAGAGAUCUGAAGGAAUACCAGUGGCGAAGGCGGCCCCCCUGGACAGAUACUGACACUCAGAUGCGAAAGCGUGGGGAGCAAACAGGAUUAGAUACCCUGGUAG